CAUGCAAACAGCCAAAACAAAAAAAUCCAAAGAAACUAGACUAGUGGGGCAUAGGAAGCAAAUGCACCAACGUUUGGGCCUUAGGCCCAAGCCUCCAAGCCAAGGUCCAAUCCAUCCUUCCUUGCCCUACGUAACUGAAACCAAACACUAAGCUUUUCCAACAAAGUCAAACACGAAAAAGACUCCCCACGGCGCCGUGCCUUUGUCCUUGCCACUUGUCUCCACGCUUCCUUCAAGGUCCAUGUCUAAUUUCGUUCACUUUCCAUGAAACGCCAAGAGCCUGCUCUCCUUUCGGUCAAACACAACGAACUCUAGGAGACACAAAAUGAACACUUCGCACCAACGAGUGGACUCGAUCCACGACAAAUUGAAUUCGAUUGUGCUUAUAAAGGAGGGAUUGAAGGAGAGAGAACCUACCAGAUUGAUGCAUUUUUGUUGAUCCUCCAGAUUCCAGCCUUUGUAGACUGAAGAUUUGGUUGAACUUUUGCUGGAUGAAGGUUCGGCCGAAGCUCCUACAGAAUGGAGGUUCGGUUGAAGCUUUUGUAGAAUCUGGAUGAGGAUGAGGAUGCGUGCAAAAUGCUUCAGAGUUUUUGAUUUUCCUCUCUGAUGCGUCCAACCCUUGAUUUAUAGCGUUGAAUUAUGUUAUCAAAUGUUCAUGAAAUUCACCCGAGAUUCACAUGUUAGUUGCAAAUGGAAUCCUAGUCGGUUAGAGUUAGUUAUUAUGAAGUUAAUAUGUUAAUGAGGUUUCGAUUCCGUGUGGUGCCGUUUGUUAGCUUAUAGUGGAAUUCAGUUAGGUAUGCUACUACACAAAAAUGCAAGCAGCUCAAUUAUUUUAUUUAAUUAUGCAAGACAAUUUGUUGUUAAAGAGGUGUCAGGCAAUGUUUGUUGUGGUCAAAAUUAUGUAGAGUAUGUUGUCAUGAACUUCUGCAGGGCAAAGUUUGGUUUGCAGUAAAGGUGAUGUUUUGAGUUUGGUUGCCCUAAUUAUGUAAAGUAUUUGGUCUUCGGCAGGGCCAUGGUUAAUUGGAUAAGUGCAAGGAAAUGAUUUUGCUAAGGAAACGCAGUGUUUCAGUUGGCAUCAGGCAACAAAUGCAAUGCUUGGUCCGAGUUAAAGUCUUGGUGAAUCAACUUGCUUAGAGUUUGAUGGAUUUAGUGGUUUAGACUUUGUAGAUUUUCUUUGUAGGAAUGUAAUGUAAUGAAUGAUAUUGAAUGAAAGUAUUGAAUUGGGUUAUAAUGGAAGUGUUGGAAAGUUAUUGAA